rnacentral:rRNA from 1 species
UACGUAGGGGGCAAGCGUUGUCCGGAUUUAUUGGGCGUAAAGAGCGUGUAGGCGGCCAGACAGGUCCGUUGUGAAAACUCGAGGCUCAACCUCGAGAUGUCGAUGGAAACCGUCUGGCUAGAGUCCGGAAGAGGAGUGUGGAAUUCCUGGUGUAGCGGUGAAAUGCGCAGAUAUCAGGAAGAACACCCGUGGCUAAGGCGGCUCUCUAGUACGGUACUGACGCUGAGACGCGAAAGCGUUGGGGAGCGAACAGG